rnacentral:tRNA from 1 species
CACUCUAAUAGUUUAUGAAAACA